AAGUCGUAACAAGGUUUCCGUAGGUGAACCUGCGGAAGGAUCAUUAUCGUGGGGCUUCGGCCCUCUCGAGAUAGAACCCUUGCCCUUUUGAGUACCUUUCGUUUCCUCGGCGGGCUCGCCCGCCAACGGGGACCACAAUAAACCCUUUGUAAUACCUGUAAUCGUCUGACAAAACAAACAAAAAUUAAAACUUUCAACAACGGAUCUCUUGGUUCUG
rnacentral:misc_RNA from 1 species